AGGGAAUCUUGCGCAAUGGGCGAAAGCCUGACGCAGCAACGCCGCGUGGGGGAUGAAGGCCUUCGGGUUGUAAACCCCCUUCAGCAGGGACGAAAUUGACGGUACCUGCAGAAGAAGCCCCGGCCAACUACGUGCCAGCAGCCGCGGUAACACGUAGGGGGCGAGCGUUGUCCGGAUUUAUUGGGCGUAAAGAGCUCGUAGGCGGCUCGGUAAGUCGGGUGUGAAAACUUAGGGCUCAACCCUGAGACGCCACUCGAUACUGCCGUGGCUAGAGUCCGGUAGGGGAGCGUGGAAUUCCUGGUGUAGCGGUGAAAUGCGCAGAUAUCAGGAGGAACACCAGUGGCGAAGGCGACUCUCUGGGCUGUAACUGACGCUGAGGCGCGAAAGCGUGGGGAGCAAAC
rnacentral:rRNA from 1 species